rnacentral:pre_miRNA from 1 species
UUUAUACUCCCUCCGUUCCGAAUUACUUGUCGCAAGUAUGGAUGUAUCUAGAUGUAUUUUAGUUCUAGAUACAUUUAUUUUCAGGACGAGUAAUUUGAAACGGAGGGAGUUGAAG